UUUUAAUCUAAUUCCGGGGACUGGAGAUAAAUCAUCGUGAAGGGUCCCGAUUUUCCGAGCCAAGAGCUUGCAGCGGCAGGAACAGCGAUGGCAUGCUAAGGGAACGGCUCUCCAGCAGCUUGCCAAGAAACAAGAGCUACCAUGCCGCUCUCCCGGCCUGCAGGAGCCCUGAGUGCAACGAGACUGUCUUUUCCUUCACCUGGCCUGGAGGAAAAGUGACAACCUAUCUUACAUUCUGACACUGCACCCUCCACCCACCGUGCCCCAAGAUGUACAAGCCCCUAACGAACUAAAGGGCGGCCAGAGCCUCAGCAAAGAGCAGCCCGCAAGAAGAAGAGAUGCCAGGGGCGCCUGGGUGGCACAGUCGGUUAAGCGUCCGACUUCAGCCAGGUCACGAUCUCGCGGUCCGUGAGUUCGAGCCCCGCGUCGGGCU